ensembl:lncRNA
GUGUAUUACAGCCUGAUUUAAUCAAGACUAGUAGCUAGCAUACAGUAUACAGUGCCUUUGGAAAGUAUUCAGCCCCAAUGAUUUUGGGGCGGCAGGUGCCUAGUGGUUAGAGUGUAGAGGAGGUAGGUAGCCUAGUGGUUAGAGUGUAGAGGAGGCAGGUAGCCUAGUGGUUAGAGUGUAGAGGAGGCAGGUAGCCUAGUGGUUAGAGUGUAGAGGAGGCAGGUAGCCUAGUGGUUAGAGUGUAGAGGAGGCAGGUAGCCUAGUGGUUAGAGUGUAGAGGAGGCAGGUAGCCUAGUGGUUAGAGUGUAGAGGAGGCAGGUAGCCUAGUGGUUAGAGCGUACAGGAGGCAGGUAGCCUAGUGGUUAGAGCGUACAGGAGGCAGGUAGCCUAGUGGUUAGAGCGUUGGGCCAGUAACCGAAAGGUUGCUAGAUUGAAUCCCGGAGCUGACAAGGUAAAAAUCUGUCGUUCUGCCCCUGAACAAGACCGUCAUUGUAAAUAAGAAUUUGUUCUUUAACUGACUUGCCUAGUUAAAUAAAGGUUAAAUAACAAAUAAAAACGUCUAGAUUGAGUACUUGGCUGCCAGAGCCAGUCUACCUCUGAAUAUAACAUAACAUCCUACAUACAGGGAAUUUAAAAAACAUUUUUAUUUCACCUUUAUUUAACUAGGCAAGACAGUUAAGAACAAAUGAUUAUUGACAAUGACGGCCUACACCAGCCGAACCCGG